GGAGAUGUAUCGAAGUGGUCAUAACGGGGCGCACUCGAAAUGCGUUAGCCUCCGGGGCACGCGGGUUCGAAUCCCGCCAUCUCCG
rnacentral:tRNA from 1 species